CCUACGGGGGGCUGCAGUGGGGAAUAUUGCACAAUGGGCGCAAGCCUGAUGCAGCCAUGCCGCGUGUGUGAAGAAGGCCUUCGGGUUGUAAAGCACUUUCAGCGGGGAGGAAGGCGGUGAGGUUAAUAACCUCAUCGAUUGACGUUACCCGCAGAAGAAGCACCGGCUAACUCCGUGCCAGCAGCCGCGGUAAUACGGAGGGUGCAAGCGUUAAUCGGAAUUACUGGGCGUAAAGCGCACGCAGGCGGUCUGUCAAGUCGGAUGUGAAAUCCCCGGGCUCAACCUGGGAACUGCAUUCGAAACUGGCAGGCUAGAGUCUUGUAGAGGGGGGUAGAAUUUCAGGUGUAGCGGUGAAAUGCGUAGAGAUCUGGAGGAAUACCGGUGGCGAAGGCGGCCCCCUGGACAAAGACUGACGCUCAGGUGCGAAAGCGUGGGGAGCAAACAGGAUUAGAUACCCGAGUAGUC
rnacentral:rRNA from 1 species